GAUGAAGAACGCAGCAAAAUGCGAUAAGUAAUGUGAAUUGCAGAAUUCAGUGAAUCAUCGAAUCUUUGAACGCACAUUGCGCCCGCCAGUAUUCUGGCGGGCAUGCCUGUUCGAGCGUCAUUUCAACCAUCAAGCCCCCGGCUUGUGUUGGGGACCUGCGGCUGCCGCAGGCCCUGAAAAGCAGUGGCGGGCUCGCUGUCACACCGAGCGUAGUAGAUUUCAUCUCGCUCAGGGCGUGCUGCGGGUUCCGGCCGUUAAACCACCUUCAUAACCCAAGGUUGACCUCGGAUCAGGUAGGAAGACCCGCUGAACUUAAGCAUAUCAAUAAGCGGAGGA
rnacentral:misc_RNA from 1 species